CCCUUAGAUGUUCUGGGCCGCACGCGCGCUACACUGAUGCAUUCAACGAGUCCAACCUUGACCGAGAGGUCCGGGUAAUCUUUGAAACUGCAUCGUGAUGGGGCUAGAUUAUUGCAAUUAUUAAUCUUCAACGAGGAAUGCCUAGUAAGCGUGAUUCAUCAAAUCGCGUUGAUUACGUCCCUGCCCUUUGUACACACCGCCCGUCGCUCCUACCGAUUGAGUGUGUUGGUGAGGAGUUUGGAUUGGCCUCGGAAGGUGGUCCGCCACCGUCCGUAGCUGAGAAGUUCUCCAAACCGCCCCACUUAGAGGAAGGAGAAGUCGUAACA
rnacentral:rRNA from 1 species